rnacentral:rRNA from 1 species
GAGUUUGAUCGUGGCUCAGAACGAACGCUGGCGGCAGGCUUAAUACAUGCAAGUCGAACGCGUCCUUCGGGACGAGUGGCAGACGGGUGAGUAACGCGUGGGAAUCUACCCAGUUCUUCGGAAUAACUGAGGGAAACUUCAGCUAAUACCGGAUACGCCCUACGGGGGAAAGAUUUAUCGGGAUUGGAUGAGCCCGCGUUGGAUUAGCUAGUUGGCGGGGUAAUGGCCCACCAAGGCGACGAUCCAUAGCUGGUCUGAGAGGAUGAUCAGCCACACUGGGACUGAGACACGGCCCAGACUCCUACGGGAGGCAGCAGUAGGGAAUAUUGGACAAAUGGGCGAAAAGCCUGAUCCAGCCAUGCCGCGUGAGUGAUG